AACGAACGCUGGCGGCAUGCCUAACACAUGCAAGUCGAACGAAGCCUUCGGGCUUAGUGGCGCACGGGUGCGUAACGCGUGGGAAUCUGCCCUUGGGCUCGGAAUCACAGUUAGAAAUGACUGCUAAUACCGGAUGAUGUCUUCGGACCAAAGAUUUAUCGCCCAAGGAUGAGCCCGCGUAGGAUUAGGUAGUUGGUGGGGUAAUGGCCCACCAAGCCGACGAUCCUUAGCUGGUCUGAGAGGAUGAUCAGCCACACUGGGACUGAGACACGGCCCAGACUCCUACGGGAGGCAGCAGUGGGGAAUAUUGGACAAUGGGCGAAAGCCUGAUCCAGCAAUGCCGCGUGAGUGAUGAAGGCCUUAGGGUUGUAAAGCUCUUUUACCAGGGAUGAUAAUGACAGUACCUGGAGGAUAAGCUCCGGCUAACUCCGUGCCAGCCGCCGCGGUAA
rnacentral:rRNA from 1 species